CAAAAACAUCGCCUCCCUGCAAAAAUCAAUGUAUAAGAGGUCCUACCUGCCCAGUGAUUUAAUUAAACGGCCGCGGUAUUUUGACCGUGCAAAGGUAGCGCAAUCACUUGUUUUUUAAAUAAAGACCUGUAUGAAUGGUGAAACGAGGGCUUAACUGUCUCCCUUUUCUGAUCAGUGAAAUUGAUCUACCCGUGCAGAAGCGGGUAUAAGAAUACAAGACGAGAAGACCCUAUGGAGCUUAAGACACAAAAUCAACUAUGUUAAAAACCCCUAUUAAAAGAAUAAAACAAAACAGCAACUGAUUAGCGUCUUCGGUUGGGGCGACCACGGGGGAAAACCAAUCCCCCACGUGGAACGGGAUUACUCCUAAAACCAUGAGGGACACCUCUAAGUCACAGAACCUCUGACCAAAUGAUCCGGUAAAUAACCGAUCAACGAACCAAGUUACCCUAGGGAUAACAGCGCAAUCCCCUUCAAGAGUUCAUAUCGACAAGGGGGUUUUACGACCUCGAUGUUGGAUCAGGACAUCCUAAUGGUGCAGCCGCUAUUAAGGGUUCGUUUGUUCAACGAUUAAAGUCCUACGUGAUCUGAG
rnacentral:rRNA from 1 species